CAGUAAUGGGAAAAUGCUAAAGUAACAGUCUGAAUAUUAAAUAAGACCAAAUAAAGAUUUUAAUUAUUAUAAAACAAAAGUCAGUAAUUCAGGGAAACACCACCUCCACAAAUGUUGAGCCAAUUCAGGUGUUGCUGGUAGAAUCCUAAAGAGUGAUAUCUCUGGUUCCUGUGAACAAUGUCCACAGUCCACACCCCUCGAGGACACAGCUCAGCUCCCACCAAGGGACCAUGGCUGAGAGGAGAGCAACAGAGCGUGAUCCCAAGGCCGCAGUACAGCUAAGGGCUCUCCAGAACCUGGGCAGGAAGCCCUACUCUCUGCCCUCCUCACUGGGUGAUGUGGAUGCCUCUGAGCUGCGGCUUUCUCCCUUCUCGUGGAAUAACAAUUGCUGACCUCACAGAGUUGUUCUGAGGACUAAAGGAGAGCAUACAUGCAAAGCACUUAGCAUCAUGCCUGCUAACAGAUCAAUGCACGACUGUUAUUAACUCAGAGUAGUGACAAGGGCGAGAGAAGAUCAGGUAAAUAGGACACACGGUAGAGAGAGUGAGGGAGUGUCAGAGGCAGGGGAGGGCGACACCCA
rnacentral:lncRNA from 1 species